AUUGAAAAAAUUCAAAUGGGAAGUGUGCAAAGGAGAGUAGACGAAAAGAAAAUUCCUUGGCUCAACAUAAUAGCAGCAUUUCGUGUUUGUCUCGUACUUCAAACAAUUUUCCCAAAAUGUGACCUCUUGUCUGUUCUGUGCAUCUGUAGCAUGCAUGAACCAAGUGGAAGGAAAGUAGGUCAUUUGAUAUGUAUACCAUACGAGUGAGUUUGAGACCUGUAUCUGCUGUCUUGUGAUAUUUUCCUCACGGUGAGGCUACUAAAUAAACCCAAGCAGCACAAAGGACUGGGAUUCGGCUGGGAACGUAACGGGGAUGAUGGGUUCGAGGUGGCCGAUAUCGCCGUCACGAGCCCGACUGCUUCCCGACUAUGUGAGGGGGAAGAAUUGAGGGAGAGGGAAACUACAUAAAAUUAUUUCCCGAUAGAUCCCCGUUCGUGUCCCGGUCAGAAUUCUUUCCCGAUAGAUUCCCGUUUGCGUCCCGGCCAGGAUUCUUUCCCGAUGGAUCCCCGUUAACGUCCCGAUCUGCUGUGGUGUACUGGCUAAGUAUUUCUUCCCGCUCGUCUCCCGAUGUUUAUGCAGAUUCGGUAACACGUGAUCGGAUGGUACAGCUCGAGACAAAGUUUCUGAAACACGGGUUUUCUGUAUUGGACUUUUCCCAGCCACCUUUGGGAAAUGCUUGUUGAGCAGAAUCCUUGGGGAUUCUGUUCAACAAGUGUUCCCCUUAGGCCGCAGGGGAGGCGUAGAGAAGUGAAAUACAAAACACCCGUGUUUCAGAAACUUUUGUCCCAAGCUGUACGAGACAGUGAAGCAUCCCUUCAGGAAGGAAUUUGGCUGUCUGGUAUGAGGUAACUCUUUCAAACAUUGGGCUGCAGUUCACUUCAUGUGUUGUGUUGUGUUGUGUUGUAUGACGGAAAACAUGCACACGCAGCACCCUGAACAGAAGUAUUAAUGGAGCCUCACUGCAAAGCACGCAAGUACAAGAUACUCGGGAAGAGUCGGCCACGCCCGAACGAAACGACCGAAUCUCCCGAAUCGAAAAACUCACGUGAAACGAAACGAAGAGAGCUUUAGCAAGUCGAACUGAUCGGACGAAAACCGCUGCACCGAAACCCGCAAAGACUACGCUGGAGCUCCCUGCAUUUGGGCUACCGCGACUGCCAUCGCCAUCAUCUUUGUUUUGGUUGUCAUUGCUGGGUGCAAAUGGCCGGCGUGUGUGUUCUUAAUGUUUCUGAGCAACAAGUUUUGCAAAGUUUGGUUCGGAGGGAGUAUGGAACGCCGUUUUGUGGUCAACGUGGCCAGAGUGCCUCAAAAGUACUCCUGCCGCAUUCUGGUCACUGUUAUAAAUGUGAAUCCCUGCCACCAUCAGCAGCUUUUAAGUAGAUUCAUGGCACAUGAGGAACCUGCGAUGUACACCAUCGCACACAGUCAAGAAAAAUGUAGCAUUUAACCUUGCUUUCCUUCAUUAUAACAAACAAAAAAAAAGAAAGAAAGAAAGAACACUAGAGAAAGGGUCGGCAAAACAGUGAGUGUUUUGUUGUUUUUGAUUCUAUUGAUCUCUCACUGUCAGGUUGCACUGCCGAUCUGUUCACAAUCAUAACUAACUAAUACCUUAGCUUUGGCCAAUCUCAUGUUGCAAUUUUGCUUCAAACACAACAUUCAGGGAUUCUUAUGAAAACAGCAGCAUUUCUGAAAGAUCCUGGAACGGCCACAAUCUCAAGAGGUAGUACGAUUCUACCCGUCGUCAUAUUUCGUCCGCCAAGCCAUUGCGCGGAGAUGUUGGCUCCAUGCCCAUUUCAACACAGGCUCACCCGCGCUCGCUCGCGCGUCGUCGCUUGUCUUCCAUGCCACCAGCCAGCGCUGCGCGCUGCCUGUCGCGCAUGCGCUGUUCUUGUUGGCUUCGCUUUGGCUGCUGUAACGGUCGUUUCUCGUCGCCGCGUGUAGUUCGCGUAAUUGCGAGCGUUCCAGCAAGUCUAAAGCGUUUUAGAGGCUUUGUAUUGUUGUUCUCACCUGGUGCUGUCGUUCUUGCAACCCGUCUGAUAUUGCAACUGUCUGUAAGUGGAAGCGUUUCUUCUAACCGCGAGCAAACCAGUCGGUCUCGUUUGACAUGUCAAAGAGUGAAGACGCUACCUUGCAUGUGAAGCCAAAUCGUUCUUCGCCUUCAGGAUUAUUGCCGUUUCAGGGAUCUGCGCAACGACAGGGAGAUAGAACGCCAAGUGAAGUCGACUGUGUACUUUGUGCAGACGGUUCAGCGUGUAUGACGCAGCGGCCUUCAGCAAGAGAAACUCAAGCACCGUGUUCAAAUGCAGUGGGGACUCUUGCUGGCCAUGACAACGCUUAGAAGUGCUUUUUCGGAAGAAGGACAAGUUGGACCGGAAAUGAGGACCUAGGUGUGCUCUUUUGCGCUGUUGUUCACCGUUCGAUCAUUACCAGUUUUUGUGCCCCCGUGAGUUCAACGCUUAGGUAUGUUGAUGAUAAAUGGAUAUGCGUUAAAAGGUACGUACUCCGGAGUGGUGAAUUGUUCUGGUGAAGUGAUUCGUUGCUGCUAUCUCCUGUUUCGUGAGGGUUCUUGUCGGUACUCAUAUACCGCAGGCAUGAGGGGCUUUCUUUGCAGAACAUUUCAGUAAACCAAGACUGCAGCAUUUUCAAGAUUGCCAUAACCAGCAUCAAUGCAGCUCUCAUGUCAACAUCAGCAUCAAGACAGCUCUGAUGUGAGCAUCAGCCAGCGCAGCUCUGAUGUUAACAUCAUCAGAGCAGCUGUGAUGUUAACAUCAGACCUGAUGUCGCUUUUUUUUUCAAUAGGGAUGCUUCUCCUUGACCAUGUUUUUUUUUUGCUUAUUGACGUUUUUGUGAAGGAACGCUGAAUAUGCGCACACCAUUGACUGUCAGCUCUAGUCCCGGUCAGCUGUCAUUUUUUACAGUUUUCGUUGUAGUAAUUGCUAGUCAUUUGCACCAAAGGCGCUGGAUGUGAACUAUUUUCUCUUUCCUGGACUUGCAUUUCUCCCAGUCGUUGGCUUUGUCAUUUUUUCAUAAUUUAAAUUUUCUCUUGGUAACUCUUGAGUUUCGUAAUCCCUACGCUGUGCAUUUUACCAUUUUUGAUAAAGCUCAUUCCACGUACCGUGCACAUACUAUUUUGUGCUGAAGUGCAGCAAUUGUUUCGUUACGUCUAAUGUUACAUGCCAUUCAUUUUUGUGUCUGGGCAGUACUGAAGCGUGAGCAGAUAGGCAGACUGCCUAUUACUGCAUAACUUCGUUUUCUUUGAGGCACCACCACUUGGACAGGCAGACCGCCUCUUGCUGUAUACUUUUUCUUUCUUUUGAGACACUGUUGACGUGCGAGUGGUUACGCAGGCAGGCUGCAUAUUACUGUAUACCAUUUCCCACCAUGCAGCAAUUUUACCGUUACGUCUAAUAUUAAUGCUACAAGCCGUUCAUUUCUUCCAGGGCCAUUGCCGAAGUGCAAGUGGUUAGGCAGACUGCCUACUACUGCAUACCUUUUUUGUUUCCUUUCAGAGACCACCUCUUACUGUGUACGUUCCCCCCCCCUUUUGAGACACCAUUGAAGGGCCAGUGGUUACGCAGGCAGGCUGGAUAUUACGGUAGACCAUUUCCACCCUUUUCUUUUCAGGCUACAUUGGCAAUGACAGUAGUUAUGCGGACAUGCUGCAUAUUUCUGUAUACCCCUCUUUUUUUGUUUUUCAUUUCAGACACAAUUGGCAUGCAUUGGAUGAUGCAGGCAGACUGCUUAGUGUACACCACUCGUCGUUUAGUCUAUUGAGGUGCUCCAAGUGUUGUGUCAGUCUAUUUCCUCUCCGAAAAUAAAAUGUUGGGCUCUACA